GGAGGAUCCAAGCGUUAUCCGGAAUCAUUGGGUUUAAAGGGUCCGUAGGCGGUUUGGUAAGUCAGUGGUGAAAGCCCAUCGCUCAACGGCGGAACGGCCAUUGAUACUGCCAGACUUGAAUUAUUGGGAAGUAACUAGAAUAUGUAGUGUAGCGGUGAAAUGCUUAGAGAUUACAUGGAAUACCAAUUGCGAAGGCAGGUUACUACCAAUUGAUUGACGCUGAUGGACGAAAGCGUGGGGAGCGAACAGGAUUAGAUACCCUGGUAGUCCACGCCGUAAACGAUGGAUACUAGCUGUUGGGAGCAAUUUCAGUGGCUAAGCGAAAGUGAUAAGUAUCCCACCUGGGGAGUACGGGCGCAARCCUG
rnacentral:rRNA from 1 species